CGCGUAUGCAACUUACCUUUUACUAGAGAAUAGCCAAGAGAAAUUUUGAUUAAUGCUCUAUACACUUACUAACUUUCAUGAGUUUGUAAGAAAAGCUCCGGCGGUAAAAGAUGGGCAUGCGUCCUAUUAGCUUGUAGGUGAGGUAACGGCUCACCUAAGCUCCGAUAGGUAGGGGUCCUGAGAGGGAGACCCCCCACACUAGUACUGAGACACGGACCAGACUUCUACGGAAGGCAGCAGUAAGGAAUAUUGGACAAUGGAGGAAACUCUGAUCCAGCCAUGCCGCGUGAAGGAUGACGGCCUCAUGGGUUGUAAACUUCUUUUAUACAGGAAUAAACCUAUCCACGUGUGGAUAGCUGAAGGUACUGUAAGAAUAAGGAUCGGCUAACUCCGUGCCAGCAGCCGCGGUAAUACGGAGGAUCCAAGCGUUAUCCGGAAUUAUUGGGUUUAAAGGGUCCGCAGGCUGUUUGUUAAGUCAGAGGUGAAAUCCUACCGCUCAACGGUAGAACUGCCUUUGAUACUGGCAAACUUGAGUUAUUGUGAAGUAGUUAGAAUGUGUAGUGUAGCGGUGAAAUGCAUAGAUAUUACACAGAAUACCGAUUGCGAAAGCAGAUUACUAACAAUUAACUGACGCUGAGGGACGAAAGCGUGGGUAGCGAACAGGAUUAGAUACCCUGGUAGUCCACGCCGUAAACGAUGGUCACUAGCUGUUCGAUGUACAUUGGUACAUUGAGUGGCUAAGCGAAAGUGAUAAGUGAC
rnacentral:rRNA from 1 species